rnacentral:tRNA from 1 species
GCUUUUGGUUCAAUGGUAGAAUGCUCGCCUGCCACGCGGGCGCCCAGGGUUCGAUUCCCGGCCGAUGCA